rnacentral:rRNA from 1 species
GAUGAACGCUGGCGGCGUGCCUAAUACAUGCAAGUAGAACGCUGAAGGAGGAGCUUGCUCUUCUGGAUGAGUUGCGAACGGGUGAGUAACGCGUAGGUAACCUGCCUGGUAGCGGGGGAUAACUAUUGGAAACGAUAGCUAAUACCGCAUGACAACAGUUAUUGCAUGAUAACUGUUUAAAAGGGGCAACUGCUCCACUACCAGAUGGACCUGCGUUGUAUUAGCUAGUUGGUGAGGUAACGGCUCACCAAGGCAACGAUACAUAGCCGACCUGAGAGGGUGAUCGGCCACACUGGGACUGAGACACGGCCCAGACUCCUACGGGAGGCAGCAGUAGGGAAUCUUCGGCAAUGGACGGAAGUCUGACCGAGCAACGCCGCGUGAGUGAAGAAGGUUUUCGGAUCGUAAAGCUCUGUUGUAAGAGAAGAACGAGUGUGAGAGUGGAAAGUUCACACUGUGACGGUAUCUUACCAGAAAGGGACGGCUAACUACGUG